GCGCCCCUAGCUCAACCGGAUAGAGCAUCUGACUUCGAAUCAGAAGGCGAAGGGGGUACGAGCCCUCUGGGCGCA
rnacentral:tRNA from 1 species